rnacentral:rRNA from 1 species
AUUGAACGCUGGCGGCAUGCUUUACACAUGCAAGUCGAACGGUAACAGCACUUCGGUGGCUGACGAGUGGCGAACGGGUGAGUAAUACAUCGGAACGUGCCUAGUAGUGGGGGAUAACUACUCGAAAGAGUAGCUAAUACCGCAUGAGAUCUAAGGAUGAAAGCAGGGGACCUUCGGGCCUUGCGCUACUAGAGCGGCUGAUGGCAGAUUAGGUAGUUGGUGGGAUAAAAGCUUACCAAGCCGACGAUCUGUAGCUGGUCUGAGAGGACGACCAGCCACACUGGGACUGAGACACGGCCCAGACUCCUACGGGAGGCAGCAGUGGGGAAUUUUGGACAAUGGGCGCAAGCCUGAUCCAGCAAUGCCGCGUGCAGGAUGAAGGCCUUCGGGUUGUAAACUGCUUUUGUACGGAACGAAAAGCCCUCUUCUAAUACAGGAGGGUCAUGACGGUACCGUAAGAAUAAGCAACGGCUAACUACGUG